rnacentral:rRNA from 1 species
UACGAAGGGGGCUAGCGUUGCUCGGAAUUACUGGGCGUAAAGGGCGCGUAGGCGGAUAGUUUAGUCAGAGGUCAAAGCCCAGGGCUCAACCUUGGAACUGCCUUUGAUACUGGCUAUCUUGAGUUCGGGAGAGGUGAGUGGAAUGCCGAGUGUAGAGGUGAAAUUCGUAGAUAUUCGCAAGAACACCAGUGGCGAAGGCGGCUCACUGGCCCGAUACUGACGCUGAGGUGCGAAAGCGUGGGGAGCAAACAGG